rnacentral:rRNA from 1 species
AUUGAACGCUGGCGGCAGGCCUAACACAUGCAAGUCGAUCGGUAACAGGCAGAAGCUUGCUUCUUUGCUGCCGAGUGGCGGGCGGGUGAGUCAUGUCUGGGAAACUGCCUGAUGGAGGGGGAUAACUACUGGAAACGGUAGCUAAUACCGCAUAACGUCGCAAGACCAAAGAGGGGGACCUUCGGGCCUCUUGCCAUCGGAUGUGCCCAGAUGGGAUUAGCUUGUAGGUGGGGUAACGACUCCACUAGGUGACGAUCUCUAGCUGGUCUGAGAGAAUGACCGGCCACACGGGAACGGAGACACGGACCAGGCUCCUACGGGAGGCAGCAGUGGGGAAUAUUGCACAGUGGGCGCAAGCCUGAUGCAGCCAGGCCGCGCGUAUGAAGAAGGCCUUCGGGUUGUAAAGUACUUUCAGCGGGGAGGAAGGGAGUAAAGUUAAUACCUUGGCUCAUUGACGGUACCCGCAGAAGAAGCACCGGCUAACUCCGUG